ACCCACGUUGCUUCGUCGGUAGAGUGUUAAACUUUUAACGUAAAUGUCCAGGGUUCGAUCCCCUGCGUGGGCA
rnacentral:tRNA from 1 species